AUUGAUGUUGAGGGUGUUGGUAGAAUCCAGCUUUACCUGUUUUUUUGAGGAUGUUGACACUCUUUAUCGGAACAUCCAUACAUGAAUUAGAUGCCAGUGAAAACCAUUGAAACAGUAUCAUUUGACUUCAUGAAGCGUCCAUCAACAGCUUGCCACACAGAUCGACUUUGAGGAGUCCAUCAGCAGCUUCACUUAAUUUGACUUUAUAAGGCAUCCAUCAGCAGCUUGACACACUUAAUUAGACUUUAUGAAGUGCCCAUCAACAGCUUGCCAUACUUAGUUUGACUUUAUGAGGCAUCCAUCAACAGCUUGCAAGACUUAUUUUGACUUUAUGAGGUGUCCAUCAACAGCUGGCAACACACUUGUUUUUGGUGAUAACACAGAAUCCCAAAGCCGAGAAAUUUAAGCAUGAUGUACAGCUGGAAAAAUAUUACAUUUCUCAUCUUCAUUCAUCUUCAUUUUGAUCAUGUUUAUAUCAAGUGGAUGGAAAAGAUUUUUCAAAAGUUUCUUUUUAGCUCACCCUGGGGCCACUUAAUUUUAUACACACAUCUCUGAAAGAGCGGGGCGUAUAAUGUGAAUACCCAUGGCGGGCAGUCGGCGUCCAAAUCAUGUCUGCUCUCUAAGUCGAACAGUUCUCAUCCGAUCUUCACCAAACUUGCUGACAAUGUUUGUGGGCAUAAUAUCUCAGCCAGGUUCGAUAACCACCAAAAUAGCCCCAGGCACUCUUGGAUUAUGGCCCUUGAAUUACUUAAAAAAACUGGGCAUUUAGCCUUGUCCGCUCUCUAAAUCAAACAGUUUUCAUCAGAUCUUCACCAAACUUGCUGACAAUGUUUGUGGGCAUAAUAUCUCGGCCAGGUUUGCUAACCACCCAAAUCGCUGCAUGCAAUCUUAGAUUAUGGCCCUUGAAUUACUUGAAAAACUGCAAAUUCAGCCUUGUCCGAUCUCGAAGUCGAACAGUUUUCAUCCGAUCUUCACCAAACUUGCUGACAAUAUUUGUGGGCAUAAUAUCUCGGCCAGGUUCGAUAACCACCCAAAUCUCCCCAGGCUCUCUUGGAUUAUAGCCCUUGAAUUAGGCCAAGUUCAAUGAUGGGCAUAUUUUGUGACAGUCUGGCAUUCUUGUUAUAUGGGAUUGAUAGGAAAAAAUAUUUCAAAAAUUAUCUUAUAUUUCCUAGAUCGCCUGAUGAUCCCAAGUAAUUAAGGGUCACUUGACUGUGACCUUGACCUAUUGACCUACUAUUUCUUGUUGUUGUUUUUUUUUAGAUAAAGCCUUGAAAUUUGGAUGACAUACACAGUUUUGCACACCGAUUUUAAAACUGACUUUCUGUGACCAUGAAUGUGACCUACUGACAUACAGUCUAACCAGCCAGGGGAAACAGACAUUUUGGCUGCUUAAGCCAGGUGACUGCUGACCGGAGGGGCAGCCAGUAUAUAUAUAUACUUCAGACUCCUGACCAGUGUUCAAUCAUGACUUUAGGCCCAUUUCUUUUUCGUUUUACUCUGGUCAUUUUACCAGGAUACAUUGACGUGCGUUUAUCUUCGCAAUACGAAUGGUCUUAACAGUCAACAACUCCGGCAUGUGUUUUACAACAAAAAUUGUCAUAGACAAUUUUCGAACUUCAAAACAAGUUUGUUUACGAUUUUCACCAUAUUAGUAAAGGGAAACUACUCUCUGCGCUUACUUUCUCCGCUAAAAUCUAAGAUUGCCUUUACGUUCCGUAACAUAUCAAGUGAUUUAAAUUUCUUUCAAACAAAAUUAUUUUCACAUACAUUUUAUAGUAUUUUGAUUAAAGAAAUAUAAAAAAAAAUCACAAAUAUUAUGAUACUAAUUAAAGAUCGAGUAUUAUCUUUAACCGAGACCAAACUGAACAACAAAAUUGACAUGAGGUGACACACUAAUUGCCGAUAAUUACUGGCCAUUUGAUUGUAACAAAAAGACGAUCACACCUUUGGUUAUCAGUUUGAAUUGAAAAGCUCAUUGUACAAAAUUGUGAAGUCACACAAAACUUAGAAAUCAUGUGUUUCUCCAAAUCGCGUAUCUUCUGCGAUUCUCGCCUAAAAAUUGUUUUGGAAGAAACAUGGCUGCUGAAAGGGGUCAAAUACGGCAGUCUGGAGGCAAUUCCGGUGGUCGCUGACCACGAAUGGGAGGUGACUGCUGAAUAAAAUUGUGAGAGGAAAAUCCGUCGGGGGCAUCACAAAGUGACCGCUGAUCGGAGGUGACCAUUAGUACAGGUUAGACUGUACUUUCUUAAUAUUUUAGCGUCAGUUUGACAUUUGAAACAUAAUCACAAAACUGGGAAAAGAUUUCAAUGCUUACUUAUAUUUGACUUUCUUACGUGAUCUCUUACACUUGUAUAUGUAGAUCAUAUCAAUCGGGUGAGCGAUCCAGGGUCAUCAUGACCCUCUUGUUUUGCAGAUGUUGGUCGGUCGGUAUGUACACCUAUCAGUUUCUCGAGAACGCUUGGGCCUAGGAACAUGAAAGUUAAUAGGGAGAUUGGUCAUGACCAGCAGAUGAUCCCUAUUGAUGUUGAGGUCAGUAGAUCAAAGGUCAAGGUCACAGUGACCCAGAACAGUUGAACGGUUUUCGAAUGAUAACUCAAGAACGCUUCGGCCUAGGAUAUGAAAGUCGAUAGGGAGGUUGGUCAAGGUCACAAUGACUCCGAACAGUUAAACGGUUUCCGGUGGAUGAUAACUCAAGAACGCUUGGGCCGAGGAUCAUGAAGUUUGAUAGGGAAGUUUGUCAUGACCAGCAGAUGACCCCUAUUGAUUUUGAGGUCAGUAGGUCAAAGGUCAACGUCACAUUUGAUACAGGGGUCACUUAUGACUGGUAAAUGACCCAUAAUUAUUGAUUUGAGGUCAGUACGUCAAAUGUCCAGUGCACAGUGACCAAAAAAUUACUGUUCCUUGUGUAGUUACUGAAUGCAUCAGGGUGGGGGGGGGGGGGCAUUUCAUGUUCUAUGAGCUCUUGUUUAUAUAGACUUAUAUAGGGAAAAUUUUUGAAAAUCUUCUUGUCCAAAACCACAGGGCCUAGGGCUUUGAUACUUGGUAUGAAGCAUCAUCUAGUGGUCCUCUACUAAGAUUGUUCAAAUCAUGACCCUUUGGUUAAUAUAUGCCACACCCAUGUUUUACAUUGACUUAGAUAUGAAAAAUCUUGUUGUCCAGAACCAUAAGGCCCAGACCUUAGAUAUUUGGUAUUUAGUCUUAUCUAGUGGUCAACUAUCAAUUUUGUUAAAACCAUGACCCUGGGGUCAAAAUUGACUGUGACCCAGUGUCAGCAGUUUUUAUACUGGCUUAUAUAGGUAAAAACAUUUAAAACCUUUUUCUGAAACCAAUAAGGCCCAGAGGCAUAGUGACAGCUCUGUUUAUAUCGAUUAUUCAGAAAUAUUUCUAUUUUACAUAUAUCUUACAAAAGAAACAGUUUUCAAUUAUAUUAAGUACAAAGAUUAACCAAAGAUUGCAGUUGUUAAGCGUUAUUUAUUCUUACCUUUCAUUUUAUUUGUUACUGUACCGAAAGUUUAACCGUUCCUUAUUUAAAUAGACUUACAUAUUUUCUUUUUUAUAAGCUGUUAUUUAUUAUUUGAUGUGCAAUUUUGUGUUGUUUUAUAUAUAUAGUGUUUUGUUUGUUGCAUUUUUAUCUCACCUGAGCACAAAGUGUUUAGGGUGAGUUAUUGAGAUCGUUCACCAUCCGGCGUCCGUCCGUCCACACUUUUCUUCAAACAACAUCUCUGAAACCAUUGGGUGCAAGUUGAUGAAACUUGGACUAGAUGUUCCUUGGGUGGGGUCAGGUGAAAAAUAGGAGGUCGCAAGUUUAUAUCAUGAUAAAGACUCACGGAAGUUUUCAUCAAUUUAUAUCAAAUACUUUUUGAGCUGGGCAUGUCACAAGGUGAAAAUAUGCAUUUUUAGCUCACCUGAGCACGAAGUGCUCAAAUGUGAGCUUUAGUGAUCGCCCUGUGUCCGUCGUCGUCCGUCCGUCCAUCUGUCGUCAACAAUUUGACUGUUAACACUCUAGAGGUCACAUUUUUGGCCCAAUCUUAAUGAAACUUGGUCAGAAUGUUACCCUCAGUAAAAUCUUGGACGAGUUCGAUAUUGGGUCAUCUGGGAUCAAAAACUACGUCACCAGGUCAAAUCAAAGGAAAAGCUUGUUAACACUCUAGAGGUCACAUUUUUGGCCCAUUCUAAAUGAAACUUGGUCAGAAUGUUACCCUCAAUAAAAUCUUGGACGAUUUCGAUAUUGGGUCAUCUGGGGUUAAAAACUAGGUCACCAGGUCAAAUCAAAGGAAAAGCUUGUUAACACUGUAGAGGCCGCAUUUAUGACUGUAUCUUCAUGAAACUUGGCCAGAAUGUUAAUAUUGAUGAUCUUAAGGUCCAGUUUGAAUCUGGGUCAUGUAGGAUCAAAAACUAGGUCACCAGGUCAAAUCAAAGGAAAAGCUAGUUUACACUGUAUAGGCCACAUUUAUGACCAUAUCUUAAUGAAACUUGGUGAGAAUGUUGAUGAUCUAUAGCUCAAGUUUAAAUCUGGGUUAGGUGGGGUCAAAAACUAGGUCACCAGGUCAAAUCAAAGGAAAAGCUUGUUAACACUCUAGAGGCCAUAUUUAUGACUGUAUCUUCAUGAAACUUAGUCAGAAUGUUAAACUUGAUGAUCUAUAGGACAGGUUCGAAUCUGGGUCAUGCCGGGUCAAAAACUAGGUCACCAGGUCAAAUCAAAGGAAAAGCUAGUUAACACUUAAGAGGCCACAUUUAUGACCAUAUCUUAAUGAAACUUGGUCAGAAUGUUAAUCUUGAUGAUCUUUAGGUCAAGUUUAAAUCUAGGUCAGGUGGGGUUAGAAACUAGGUCACUAGGUCAUAUCAAAGGAAAAGCUUGUUAACACUCUAGAGGCCACAUUUAUGAUGUGACUUCAUGAAACUUAGGCAGAAUGUUAAACUUGAUGAUCUUUAGGUCAAGUUCGAAUCUGGGUCAUGUCGGGUCAGAAACUAGGUCACGGGGUCAAAUCAAAGGAAUAGCUAGUUAAAACUUUAGAGGUCACAUUUAUGACCAUAUCUUAAUGAAACUUGGUCAGAAUGUUAAUCUUGAUGAUCUCAAGGUCAAUAGGUCAGGUGAGCGAUACAGGGCCUUCAUGGCCCUCUUGUUUACUAUUUCAGGGGCCAUAACUCUGGAAAUAGGGGGCAGAACCAGAUGAAAAUAGGAGGUGCGCAAGUUCAUUUCAUGAUUAAGACUCUUGCAAAAUUUCAUCAAUAGCUAGGCGCGUCUCAAGGUGAAAAUGUGCAGUUUUGACUAUUUCAGGGGCCAUAACUCUGGAAACAGGGGGCGGAGCCAGAUGAAAAAUAGAAGGUGUACAAGUUUAUAUAAUAAUUAAGACUUGUGCAAGGUUUCAUCAGUUUAUAUCAAAUAAUUUAUGAGGUAGGCGCGUCACAAACAUUUCGGAUGCACAGACAAGACCAAAUCUAUAUGCCCCCUCCACUCAGUGUUGGGGGCACAAAAAUGUACAUGUUGAUAUAUUGUUAUAUCACAUCAUUCCCUCCUACCCCCCCCCCCGCCCCCCCCACACACACACACACUUCCACCUCAACACACAGAGUACCUGCCUGUAUUUAUUUACUGUAAAUCACUUUAUAUUCACGUGAUCUUUAUUUCACAAAUUCCAAUUCCUGAAGUCGUGGUUACAUUAAUGUCCAUUCUUCCGUACCAUACCGAAUUUAUGCACGCUAAAGAUUCGUUAAAUACAUGGUCCAUAACGGUCAUUUCGUAUUAGUAAUCGGUUAUUUUAUUCACACAAAUUGCUUUUGUUCGUAUCUUAUGGAAGGGAAUUUACACAGAUUUAUGAAUCUUCGAUGCACCUGAUUCGCAAAAAAUAGCGAAAAUUAAAACGCCACGAAUAAUACCGGAUUUACAGUAGUAGAAACUUUUAACUGUUCAAGCAGGCAACUAAACUCAGGUGAGUGAUAUAGGGCCAUCAUGGCCCUCGUGUUUAUAAAUGCACUGUUUAAUCCCACCCUUGUGCAAUAUUUAUUAUACAGUCAGAGAUGGAGAUUACCUUUUUUAUAUACAUAUAUAGUAUGGAGAAAUAUUACCAGACUUUUAUGUCAGAUUAUUUCAAAAAUAUGAGAGCUUAUCAAAAAUUACUUUAUUAAUAAACAAAAUAAAGUCAUUGUUAACUCUGUUAUUUCCCCUAUUGGUGAAUAAAGUUUUACAGUUU